UGUGACCCAUCUUUUCAAAUUCCCUUACCUGAGGAAGGAGCCCGAUUACAAGGAUAUUUACCUGCUCCUACCCUGAUCUAGGCUCUCUGUUUCCUCGAGUCACUCCCAGAUUAGUGGUGUCUAGCUCAGCACUGUUUCUGUUAUACUUCAUUCAUAAUUCCCAGCGCUGUUGGACGAGGAUGGGAAGACCGCCUGUGGCCAUGAGCCCUCCCCGGUGCUCCUGGGGCUAAGGCUGGGGCUGCAGCCAUGGGGCUGGGUCAGCCCCAGGCCUGGUUGCUGGGUCUGCCCACAGCUGUGGUCUAUGGCUCCCUGGCUCUCUUCACCACCAUCCUGCACAAUGUCUUCCUGCUCUACUAUGUGGACACCUUUGUCUCAGUGUACAAGAUCAACAAAAUGGCCUUCUGGGUCGGAGAGACAGUGUUUCUCCUCUGGAACAGCCUCAAUGACCCCCUCUUCGGUUGGCUCAGUGACCGGCAGUUCCUCAGCUCCCAGCCCCGGU
rnacentral:lncRNA from 1 species